rnacentral:rRNA from 1 species
GACGAACGCUGGCGGCGUGCUUAACACAUGCAAGUCGAACGGAAAGGCCCUGCUUUUGUGGGGUGCUCGAGUGGCGAACGGGUGAGUAACACGUGAGUAACCUGCCCUUGACUUUGGGAUAACUUCAGGCAACUGGGGCUAAUACCGGAUAGGAGCUCCUGCUGCAUGGUGGGGGUUGGAAAGUUUCGGCGGUUGGGGAUGGACUCGCGGCUUAUCAGCUUGUUGGUGGGGUAGUGGCAUACCAAGGUUUUGCCGGGUAGCCGUGCUGGGAGGGGGAGCGGCCACAUUGGGACUGAGAUACGGCCCAGACUCCUACCGGAGGGAAGGGUGGAGAAUGUUGCACUAUGGGCGGAAGCCUGGUGCGACAAAGCCGCGUGGGGGAAGACGGGCUUCGGGUUGUAAAGCGCUUUCGCCUGUGACGAAGCGUGAGUGACGGUAAUGGGUAAAGAAGCACCGGCUAACUACGUG